UAGUUGGUGAGGUAAUAGCUCACCAAGGCAACGAUGUCUAGGGGUUCUGAGAGGAUGAUCCCCCACACUGGUACUGAGACACGGACCAGACUCCUACGGGAGGCAGCAGUGAGGAAUAUUGGUCAAUGGGCGCAAGCCUGAACCAGCCAUCCCGCGUGAAGGAAGACUGCCCUAUGGGUUGUAAACUUCUUUUGUAAAGGAAGAAAGUUAGCUACGUGUAGCUAUUUGCCUGUACUUUACGAAUAAGCACCGGCUAACUCCGUGCCAGCAGCCGCGGUAAUACGGAGGGUGCAAGCGUUAUCCGGAUUUAUUGGGUUUAAAGGGUGCGUAGGCGGGCUCUUAAGUCAGUGGUGAAAUCCUGCAGCUUAACUGUAGAACUGCCAUUGAUACUGAGAGUCUUGAGUGCGGUUGAGGUAGGCGGAAUGUGUAGUGUAGCGGUGAAAUGCUUAGAUAUUACACAGAACACCGAUUGCGUAGGCAGCUUACUAAACCGUAACUGACGCUGAUGCACGAAAGCGUGGGUAGCGAACAGGAUUAGAUACCCUGGUAGUCCACGCCGUAAACGAUGAUAACUAGCUGUAUGCGAUAUAUAGUAUGUGGCAAAGCGAAAGCAUUAAGUUAUCCACCUGGGGAGUACGGUCGCAAGAUUGAAACUCAAAGGAAUUGACGGGGGCCCGCACAAGCGGAGGAACAUGUGGUUUAAUUCGAUGAUACGCGAGGAACCUUACCUGGGCUUAAAUGUAGAUUGCUUGAAUGGGAAACCGUUCUUUCUUCGGACAAUUUACAAGGUGCUGCAUGGUUGUCGUCAGCUCGUGCCGUGAGGUGUCGGGUUAAGUCCCAUAACGAGCGCAACCCCUAUCGUUAGUUGCUAGCAGGUAAUGCUGAGGACUCUAGCGAGACUGCCGGUGUAAACCGCGAGGAAGGUGGGGAUGACGUCAAAUCAGCACGGCCCUUACGUCCAGGGCUACACACGUGUUACAAUGGCCGGUACAGAGGGCAGCUACAUAGUGAUAUGAUGCAAAUCUCGAAAGCCGGUCUCAGUUCGGAUCGGAGUCUGCAACUCGACUCCGUGAAGGUGGAUUCGCUAGUAAUCGCAUAUCAGCCAUGAUGCGGUGAAUACGUUCCCGGGCCUUGUACACACCGCCCGUCAAGCCAUGGAAGCCGGGGGUACCUGAAGUCUGUCACCGCAAGGAGCGGCCUAGGGUAAAACUGGUAACUGGGGCU
rnacentral:rRNA from 1 species